rnacentral:rRNA from 1 species
UGGGGAAUUUUGGACAAUGGGCGAAAGCCUGAUCCAGCAAUGCCGCGUGUGUGAAGAAGGCCUUCGGGUUGUAAAGCACUUUUGUCCGGAAAGAAAUCCUUGGCUCUAAUACAGUCGGGGGAUGACGGUACCGGAAGAAUAAGCACCGGCUAACUACGUGCCAGCAGCCGCGGUAAUACGUAGGGUGCAAGCGUUAAUCGGAAUUACUGGGCGUAAAGCGUGCGCAGGCGGUUUGCUAAGACCGAUGUGAAAUCCCCGGGCUCAACCUGGGAACUGCAUUGGUGACUGGCAGGCUAGAGUAUGGCAGAGGGGGGUAGAAUUCCACGUGUAGCAGUGAAGUGCGUAGAGAUGUGGAGGAAUACCGAUGGCGAAGGCAGCCCCCUGGGCCAAUACUGACGCUCAUGCACGAAAGCGUGGGGAGCAAAACAGGAUUAGAUACCCCUGGUAGUCCACGCCCCUAAAACGAUGUCAACUAGUUGUUGGGGAUUCAUUCCUUAGUAACGUAGCUAACGCGUGAAGUUGACCGCCUGGGGAGUACGGUCGCAAGAUUAAAACUCAAA